CCCUACUUUACAGAUUAGGAAAGAGACAUUAUUUGAUUUGGAGUUAGCAGGGUGUCUUUUCACUAGAGGUCGCCAUUUCCACAGACACUACAUUAACUAAACUAACCCUUUUUAGACAAAGCAAGCCAUGUGUUUCUUAUGACUCCCAUCAGUGUAGGCUGAACGUAUUCACUCACAAGCUGCCCAUGUGACAUUUUGUGAUUUGUGAUAUUGGACUAUACAUAUAUGCUAAAAUUAAAAUUAAAAUGACUUAUUAUUCCCCUCUACUUGGGUCAAUGGAAAUGCUUGGUAAACAGGAACACUUGGUUCCAUCUGUUAAUUUUCCUCCUAACAAACUAUGCAGCCAAAAACUAAAUUCUGGUUCCUUGUAGAAAAGCACAGGCUCUCAUCCUAACAGAAUACAUCUCCAAGGAAUAAGAGUGGCUUUGUUCUCCACCUUUUAAUAGUUGACUGGGCUGCCAUGGGGGAGGGGCUGCUACUCCAUUGUAGAGUCCCUUUGUGGAGGAAUGCUGCUCUACAGAUCAGAUCGUUUGGUUUACUGAAUGUGAUGAGACACCUUUCUGUUGUGGCUGCAAACUUGUCGAACAGGUAGUGCCGCACCAAAGGCUAAACAUGAGCAUAAUCAAAUACUCAGCAUGACUAUCUGAUUUAGAUUCUUCCAUCUUCCAUUUUCAGCUCACCUGCUGUGACCUGGCAACAACAUCCCAUCCUGCCCAACUAGACGUUUAAGCAGAUGACCUGGCACACUACAAGAGAAACCUAAAACUGCAUAUAUGUAUUCGAGUUUGUGUUCUGUAGUAUGAAUAUGUUCAGUCAUGUCCAUGGUGGCUAUGAGUACUGGUUUUUUCCUGCAUCACAUGACCGGUAGUCAUGAGUUUGCUAUGACCUGCACUUUCUCAUCAUAUGCACAGAUUUAAUCAAGAACACACAUUUUCUAAUGUUCAACAAAAUGAAUAAAUAUCAUUUUAGAAAGCAGCGUGCUACACAAAAACAUCCGGUCUUUUAAGAUUAAGAUUGUAUGAUAUAAAGGUUUGUUUUGAUGACAAUCACAAGCUCACCUCUCAAUCAAAAAAAUGUGCUAAUGUCUAUGUAUUAAAGAAUAUUAAAUAAAAUAAUAUAAAAUAUCUGCCAUUUACAAGGGGCCACUAGUCAUGUGUUAAAAGAAAUGUCCUUAUAUUACGUUAUAUUGUUUUUUUUCCUCCAGUAUUUUUUCAAUUCAUUGAUGGCAAGACUGAAAUUACAUAGAUUCAGUAUGGUUUCAUCUCUUCUUUGAGACUCUUAACAUCACACCAGACACGGAUGUUUAAUCCCUGGCCAACUGAACUGUGGCACAAAGUGUAAAGAAAUUAAUUUAAUUUAAUACCUAGCACAUGUUAUGGUUGUAUAUGUGUAUUUUGUACAUCCUCAAUAAAUGUCAGAGACAUAGUAGUAUAGUCAUCACACCUACAAACAAAGGCUAGGGAAAUCUGAAUUCAAAGCCUGCAUGCUUUUUGGACAUCUGUUGGUUUAUAUGUGUAGACAUGUGAGAUUUUUCCC
rnacentral:lncRNA from 1 species